rnacentral:rRNA from 1 species
UACGUAGGGUGCAAGCGUUGUCCGGAAUUAUUGGGCGUAAAGAGCUCGUAGGCGGUUUGUCGCGUCUGCUGUGAAAACUCGGGGCUUAACCCCGGGCCUGCAGUGGGUACGGGCAGACUAGAGUGCGGUAGGGGAGACUGGAAUUCCUGGUGUAGCGGUGAAAUGCGCAGAUAUCAGGAGGAACACCGGUGGCGAAGGCGGGUCUCUGGGCCGUAACUGACGCUGAGGAGCGAAAGCGUGGGGGAGCGAACAGG